CAAGUAAUUAAGUGCAUGUGGUGGAUGCCUUGGCAGUCAGAGGCGAUGAAAGACGUGAUAGCCUGCGAAAAGCUCCGGGGAGGCGGCAAAUAUCCUUUGAUCCGGAGAUGUCUGAAUGGGGGAACCCACCUACUUUAAGGUAGGUAUUGCAACAUGAAUACAUAGUGUUGCAAGGCGAACGAGGGGAAGUGAAACAUCUCAGUACCCUUAGGAAAAGAAAUCAAUUGAGAUUCCCUCAGUAGCGGCGAGCGAACGGGGAUCAGCCCAUUAAGUUAUGUGUGUUUUAGUGGAACGCUCUGGGAAGUGCGAACGUAGAGGGUGAUAUUCCCGUACACGAAAGGGCACACAUAAUGAUGACGAGUAGGGCGAGGCACGUGAAACCUUGUCUGAAUAUGGGGGGACCAUCCUCCAAGGCUAAAUACUCCUGACUGACCGAUAGUGAACCAGUACCGUGAGGGAAAGGCGAAAAGAACCCCUGUGAGGGGAGUGAAAUAGAUCCUGAAACCGCAUGCAUACAAGCAGUGGGAGCACCUUCGUGGUGUGACUGCGUACCUUUUGUAUAAUGGGUCAGCGACUUAUAUUCAGUAGCGAGGUUAACCGUAUAGGGGAGCCGUAGAGAAAUCGAGUCUUAAUAGGGCGUUUAGUUGCUGGGUAUAGACCCGAAACCAGGCGAUCUAUCCAUGAGCAGGUUGAAGGUUGGGUAACACUAACUGGAGGACCGAACCCACUGUCGUUGAAAAGCCAGGGGAUGACUUGUGGAUAGGGGUGAAAGGCUAAUCAAGCCUGGUGAUAGCUGGUUCUCCCCGAAAGCUAUUUAGGUAGCGCCUCGGACGAAUACCAUAGGGGGUAGAGCACUGUUUCGGCUAGGGGGUCAUCCCGACUUACCAAACCGAUGCAAACUCCGAAUACCUAUGAGUACUAUCCGGGAGACAGACUGCGGGUGCUAACGUCCGUAGUCAAGAGGAAAACAAUCCAGACCGCCAGCUAAGGCCCCAAAAUCAUAGUUAAGUGGGAAACGAUGUGGGAAGGCAUAGACAGCUAGGAGGUUGGCUUAGAAGCAGCCACCCUUUAAAGAAAGCGUAAUAGCUCACUAGUCGAGUCGGCCUGCGCGGAAGAUGUAACGGGGCUAAAACUAUGUGCCGAAGCUGCGGAUGUAUACUUUGUAUACGUGGUAGGGGAGCGUUCUGUAAGCCGAUGAAGGUGUGUUGAGAAGCAUGCUGGAGGUAUCAGAAGUGCGAAUGCUGACGUGAGUAACGACAAAACGGGUGAAAAACCCGUUCGCCGAAAGACCAAGGGUUCCAGUCCAACGUUAAUCGGGGCUGGGUGAGUCGACCCCUAAGGCGAGGCCGAAAGGCGUAGUCGAUGGGAAAAUGGUUAAUAUUCCAUUACUUCUGUGUAAUGCGAUGAGAGGACGGAGAAGGCUAAAUCAGCCUGGCGUUGGUUGUCCAGGUGAAAGGAAGUAGGCAUGUAUCUUAGGCAAAUCCGGGGUACUCUAUGCUGAGAUCUGAUAGCAAGCUGUACUUGUACAGCGAAGUGGUUGAUGCCAUGCUUCCAGGAAAAGUCUCUAAGCUUCAGUUACACAGGAAUCGUACCCGAAACCGACACAGGUGGUCAGGUCGAGUAGACCAAGGCGCUUGAGAGAACUCUGCUGAAGGAACUAGGCAAAAUGGUACCGUAACUUCGGGAGAAGGUACGCUGUUGUUGGUGAUGGAACUCGCUUCCUGAGCUGACGACAGCCGCAGAAACCAGGCCGCUGCAACUGUUUAUUAAAAACAUAGCACUCUGCAAACACGAAAGUGGACGUAUAGGGUGUGAUGCCUGCCCGGUGCUGGAAGGUUAAUUGAUGGGGUUAGCGUAAGCGAAGCUCUUGAUCGAAGCCCCAGUAAACGGCGGCCGUAACUAUAACGGUCCUAAGGUAGCGAAAUUCCUUGUCGGGUAAGUUCCGACCUGCACGAAUGGCAUAAUGAUGGCGGCGCUGUCUCCAGCAGAGGCUCAGUGAAAUCGAAAUCGCUGUGAAGAUGCAGUGUACCCGCGGCUAGACGGAAAGACCCCGUGAACCUUUACUGCAGCUUGACACUGAACUUUGACCUUACUUGUGUAGGAUAGGUGGGAGGCUUUGAAGCUGGAACGCUAGUUCCAGUGGAGCCGUCCUUGAAAUACCACCCUGGUAAUGUUGAGGUUCUAACUCUGUCCCGUGAUCCGGGACGAGGACCGUGUCUGGUGGGUAGUUUGACUGGGGCGGUCUCCUCCUAAAGAGUAACGGAGGAGUACGAAGGUGCGCUCAGCGUGGUCGGAAAUCACGCGUAGAGUAUAAAGGCAAAAGCGCGCUUAACUGCGAGACCCACAAGUCGAGCAGGUACGAAAGUAGGUCUUAGUGAUCCGGUGGUUCUGUAUGGAAGGGCCAUCGCUCAACGGAUAAAAGGUACUCUGGGGAUAACAGGCUGAUACCGCCCAAGAGUUCAUAUCGACGGCGGUGUUUGGCACCUCGAUGUCGGCUCAUCUCAUCCUGGGGCUGAAGCAGGUCCCAAGGGUAUGGCUGUUCGCCAUUUAAAGAGGUACGCGAGCUGGGUUUAGAACGUCGUGAGACAGUUCGGUCCCUAUCUACCGUGGGCGCUGGAAAUUUGAGAGGAUCUGCUCCUAGUACGAGAGGACCAGAGUGGACGAACCUCUGGUGUACCGGUUGUGACGCCAGUCGCAUCGCCGGGUAGCUAUGUUCGGAAGGGAUAACCGCUGAAAGCAUCUAAGCGGGAAGCCUACCUCAAGAUAAGAUUUCCCUAGGACUUUAUGUCCUCUAAAGAGCCGUUCGAGACUAGGACGUUGAUAGGUUGGAUGUGGAAGCAUAGUGAUAUGUGAAGCUGACCAAUACUAAUUGCUCGUGAGGCUUGACUA
rnacentral:rRNA from 2 species